rnacentral:rRNA from 1 species
AAGUUGUUGCGGUUAAAAGCUCGUAGUUCGAGCUCAGUUCCGGACUGGCCGGGGAGGUCACCGCCCGGUGCUUCCCCGUCAGGCUCCGAACAGCCUUCGUGAGCGGAGGCCAAGCCGGUUCUGCCGGGGUGCUCUUUACCGAGUGUCCCGCGCGGCCGGCCAGUUCACCUUGAAUAAAUGAGAGUGCUCAAAGCAGGCUACUCUCGAAUACAAUGCCCGAAUGUUACCUGCAUGGAAUGAUGGAAGAUGAUCUCGGUUCCAUUUUAUUGGUGGUGGGAGCCCGAGGUAAUGAUAAACAGGGACUGUCGGGGGCAUCCGUACUACGACGCGAGAGGUGAAAUUCAGUGACCGUCGUAGGACGAACAACAGCGAAAGCAUUUGCCAAGAAUGUCUUCGUUGAUCAAGAACGAAAGUUAGAGGAUCGAAGGCGAUCAGAUACCGCCCUAGUUCUAACCCUAAACGAUGCUGACUAGCAAUUCGCCGUCGUUAUUCCCAUGACGUGGCGAGACGCCCCCGGGAAACCUCAAGUCUUUGAGUUCCGGGGGUAGUAUGGUUGCAAAACUGAAACUUAAAGAAAUUGACGGAAGGGCACCACCAGGAGUGGAGCCUGCGGCUUAAUUUGACUCAACACGGGAAACCUCACCAGGCCCGGACACCAGAAGGAUUGACAGAUUAAGAGCUCUUUCUCGAUUUGGUGGGUGGUGGUGCAUGGCCGUUCUUAGUUGGUGGAGUGAUUUGUCUGGUUAAUUCCGGUAACGAACGAGACUCUGGCCUACUAAAUAGUCGACGGGCGUUUUGGUGCAUGGGCCCCGUUCGACACAGUCUUCUUAGAGGGAUGAGCAGCGAGUAUAGCUGCAGGAGAUUGAGCAAUAACAGGUCUGUGAUGCCCUUAGAUGUCCUGGGCCGCACGCGCGCUACACUGAAUGGGUUAGCGGGUUGUCCUUCUCCGAGAGGAGCGGGAAAUCGCUUGAAAACCAUUCGUGAUAGGGAUUGGGGCUUGCAAUUGUUUCCCAUGAACGAGGAAUUCCCAGUAAGCGCAAGUCAUCAGCUUGCGUUGAUUAAGUCCCUGCCCUUUGUACACACCGCCCGUCGCUACUACCGAUUGAAUGAUUUAGUGAGGCCUUCGGACUGGCGGUCUUGGACUGGGGCGCCGGCGUUCUCCAGCAAUGGGGUGCCGGCGACCCGCCUAGACGGGCCGGAAAGAUGUCCAAACUUGAUCAUUUAGAGGAAGUAAAAGUCGUAACAAGGUUUCC